AAGAUAGGGUUCAAAUUCCAAAUUGUUCUAAUGUCUCUUUCUAGUUUGGCUCUGUCUGUCUCUCUCUCUCUCUCUAUCUCCCUCUCUCUCUCUCUCUCUCUCUCAAACUUCUUCUAUCUAAUACCUCACCUAUUGCUGGGGGGAACAAUUAAUUUUGUUUUGUUGCCUUUUCUGCUCAUUUUAAAAUGACCAAAAUAGGUUGCUUGUCUUUUCUCUCACAUUUAACAUAUGGGCCCACCCACAUUGUUUAAUUGUUUAUAGGCAAUGUUAAUUGCCUCUCUGUUAAGCAUGCAAGUUGAUACAAUCCCUCCUGCACUGCAAUGCCUAAAAACUCCACUAUCAAUCAAAUCAAACUUUAACUAGUCAUCUUUUAUGUCUAUUGUAGUCUUAAAGCACGCCUAAUCCCCCAAUAGAGUCUUGGUUUUUAUUUAUUUAUUACAAGGGCUUCAUAAUUCAAGGGAUUAAGAACAUUUAUUUAGUCACUCGAGAUCCGAGGUUUGAUAACUCCCUCUUUCAAUAUCGUUUAUGUAAAAGAAAAUCUUUAGUUUUCCAUUAUAAGGGUCUUGUACCUCGAGUGAUUAAAAGUAUUUAUUUAUUUACUUAAGGUCCUAGGUUCGUUUCUCCCCUAUUUCAAUAUCACUUAUAUAUAAAAUAAAAAAUCUUCAAUUUUCCGUUAUAAGUAAUAACAAAAUUAAAAGAAACUAAUGUCUUUUAAUGGCUUUCAUCAUACUCUAUUGAUUGUCCUUUCUCCUAAAUAUCUUCUCACUCAUGACUUUGGAAUUGAUCAUCAUGCUACAAUGGUUAGGAAUCCAUGGACGAAAGUGUUCAAAUUUGGCACUUCUUUCAACAUUGAAAAUAAAAAUAUUCCUAAAGCACUUUUGUUAGUAUUGAGUAAAAUUAUUAUAAACUAACUUGAGAUAUUUAGUUAUAUAUCUAUUUUUAGCACUAAAUUAUAAAUAAAUUCUACACUAUUUAAUUUUUAUAAACAAACCCACAAAAUGACAGCUGGCCCUAUUGAAUUUAAUUUUGAUUAUUAAAUUACUUUAAUGCCCUAUUGAGUGUUUUAGGCUUUUUCAUGAAGUUUUGGGGUUGAGUUUGUUUAAAAAAAUCAGUGGCA
rnacentral:lncRNA from 1 species